rnacentral:rRNA from 1 species
UACGUAGGGAGCAAGCGUUGUCCGGAAUCAUUGGGCGUAAAGCGCGCGUAGGCGGCCCCGUAAGUCCGCUGUGAAAGUCAAAGGCUCAACCUUUGAAAGCCGGUGGAUACUGUGGGGCUAGAGUACGGAAGAGGCGAGUGGAAUUCCUGGUGUAGCGGUGAAAUGCGCAGAUAUCAGGAGGAACACCAAUGGCGAAGGCAGCUCGCUGGGACGGUACUGACGCUGAGACGCGAAAGCGUGGGGAGCAAACAGG